rnacentral:rRNA from 1 species
AGAGUUUGAUCCUGGCUCAGGAUGAACGCUGGCGGCGUGCCUAAUACAUGCAAGUCGAACGGGGUGUUUGAGCAAUCGAACACUUAGUGGCGAACGGGUGAGUAACGCGUUGGUGACCUGCCCCAAAGCGGGGGAUAACAGCCUGAAAGGGUUGCUAAUACCGCAUAAGGUCUAGGGAGAUUAGAAGCUCUAGAUUAAAGGAGAAAUCCACUUUGGGAGGGGCCUGCGUCCCAUCAGCUAGUUGGUAGGGUAAAAGCCUACCAAGGCGAUGACGGGUAGGGGACCUGAGAGGGUGACCCCCCACAAUGGAACUGAAACACGGUCCAUACACCUACGGGUGGCAGCAGUAGGGAAUAUUGCACCAUGGGCGCAAGACUGACCCAGCAACGCCGCGUGAGGGAAGAAGGUCUUCGGAUUGUAAACCUCUGUCCUUGGGGACGAAAAAAAUGACGGUACCCAAGGAGGAAGCUCCGGCUAACUACGUGCCAGCAGCCGCGGUAAUACGUAGGGAGCAAGCGUUGUCCGGAAUUACUGGGCGUAAAGGGUGCGUAGGCGGCAUGUUAAGUUGGAUGUGAAAUACCCGGGCUUAACCUGGGGGGUGCAUCUAAUACUGCCAAGCUUGAGUGCAGGAGAGGAAAGCGGAAUUCCUAGUGUAGCGGUGAAAUGCGUAGAUAUUAGGAAGAACACCAGUGGCGAAGGCGGCUUUCUGGACUGUAACUGACGCUGAGGCACGAAAGCGUGGGGAGCAAACAGGAUUAGAUACCCUGGUAGUCCACGCUGUAAACGAUGGAUACUAGGUGUGGGGGACAUACAACCUCCGUGCCGGAGCUAACGCAAUAAGUAUCCCGCCUGGGGAGUACGGUCGCAAGACUGAAACUCAAAGGAAUUGACGGGGACCCGCACAAGCAGCGGAGCAUGUGGUUUAAUUCGAAGCAACGCGAAGAACCUUACCAAGGCUUGACAUCCUCUGACCGCCAUAGAGAUAUGGCUUCCCUUCGGGGCAGAGAGACAGGUGGUGCAUGGUUGUCGUCAGCUCGUGUCGUGAGAUGUUGGGUUAAGUCCCGCAACGAGCGCAACCCUUAUCAUUAGUUGCCAGCACGUAAUGGUGGGAACUCUAAUGAGACUGCCGGGGAUAACUCGGAGGAAGGUGGGGACGACGUCAAAUCAUCAUGCCCCUUAUGUCUUGGGCUACACACGUGCUACAAUGGCCGGUACAAAGGGCUGCGAAGCCGUAAGGUGGAGCGAAUCCCAAAAAGCCGGUCUCAGUUCGGAUCGUGGGCUGCAACCCGCCCACGUGAAGCCGGAGUUGCUAGUAAUCGCGAAUCAGCAUGUCGCGGUGAAUGCGUUCCCGGGCCUUGUACACACCGCCCGUCACACCACGGAAGUUGGGAGCGCCCGAAGCCAGUGAGCUAACCAGUAAUGGAGGCAGCUGUCGAAGGUGAGAUCAAUGACUGGGGUGAAGUCGUAACAAGGUAACC